UACGGAGGGUGCAAGCGUUAUCCGGAUUCACUGGGUUUAAAGGGUGCGUAGGUGGCUUUGUAAGUCAGUGGUGAAAGCCCGGAGCUCAACUCCGGAACUGCCAUUGAUACUGCUUAGCUUGAAUCAGGUCGAGGUGGAUGGAAUAUUACAUGUAGCGGUGAAAUGCUUAGAUAUGUAAUAGAACACCGAUUGCGAAGGCAGUUCACAAGGCCUGUAUUGACACUGAGGCACGAAAGCGUGGGGAUCAAACAGG
rnacentral:rRNA from 1 species